UACGAGGGGGGCAAGCGUUGUUCGGAAUUAUUGGGCGUAAAGGGUGCGUAGGCGGUGCGGUAAGUCUGUUGUGAAAUCUCCGGGCUCAACUCGGAGUCUGCAUCAGAAACUGCCGUGCUGGAGUGUGGGAGAGGUGAGUGGAAUUCCCGGUGUAGCGGUGAAAUGCGUAGAGAUCGGGAGGAACACCUGCGGCGAAAGCGGCUUCCUGGUCCGACACCGACGUUCAGGCACGAAAGCGUGGGGAGCAAACAGG
rnacentral:rRNA from 1 species